rnacentral:lncRNA from 1 species
CUCUUCCGGGGCCGCCCGCCCCGAGGCCCGAAGUAGCCCAAGCACCGCGCGAGCGGCCCAGAUCGGCCUCACAGUCGACCCCGCAAACUCCUGCAAACUCCGAGGCGCGUAACCGCGCCCGGGCCAGGCGGCAAGCGCGCCAGGCAGGCACAGCUCCGCGGGCCGCCCGCCCCUCCCCCCGCCGCGUGGCGCCAACAAAAGACGGCCCCAGAACAAAGGCGGCGGCCCGCGGCCGCACCUACCCCGCGUCCUCCUCGUUCUUGCUGGCGUUGAUCUGGUCGCCCUCCGCGCCGUUCUGGUUCCCGCUCGGUGCGGUCGUGGUCCCGCCCCCAGACCCGGCCGAGGCCGCGGGGGCCGCGGCAGCCGCGCUGGGCUCGACCGGGGCCUCGCCUUCGGGGGCGGCCUCGUGUCCGUUCUCGGUGGCGCCCCCAUGGGCUGCUCCUCAGCCGCGUCCGACAUGGUCGGCCAGGCCGCAGCGGCUACUGCAACGAGCGGCGACAGCGCGUCAGGCCCCGCGGCGCUCCCCGAGCUCCCGCCCACCGCCCGCGGCCGGGCCGCUCACCUCGCCGCCGAUGACGCCGCGAGGCCCUACUCGCCGCAGAAGGCGACGCGCGGGCUUGGCCGCGGUCACGCUCGCACCCCCGAGGGCUCGUCCGCAGCCACUGACUAUCGCUCCGCUCGGCCGCCGCCGUACACUGCCGAUAAAGAAGACCUUAACUCCGUCCCGCGCGGUGCCACCGCCUGACAAUGCCAACUCGUGGAGCUCUUUAUAAUGCCGAAGCCGGGCACCACCUCGUAACAACGGAUACUCUCAUUGGGCAAAGCGAACCGCCACUCACCAUUGUCCUAGCAUCUUAUUGGCUGCUUCUGCGCGCGCGCUCUAGAUCCGGGCGGGCUUUGUCCUCAUUUUAGAACGCGCGCGAGUCGGAGAACUGUCUACGGUUCCGGUCACCGGGCGAGCACGUCCAAUGUCCCCAGCUGCCCGGGGUACACGGCAGUCUGUCAUCCUAUCCCUACAUCCUAUUCUACACUAGCAACCCCGGCCUCCCAAAAGAGGAGAAUGAGCCGGAGGAAGUCCCCUAAAUCCAAGGUCGCCCGGAGAAAGGAGCCUAAUCUUGGAGUGCUCUAAUCUACGGAGUGCUGCGGUCAUCGGAGGCCUUCAGCACAGCCUGCUCCUAAACCUCGGCAUCCUGAGAUGCCAGGGCUCCUGCCCUCUUCAGUGAGCUAGCUGGGGCCAUCCAUGGAGGCCUGGCGCAGUGAACGUUGGACCGUAGUAUUUCCAGUGUCUGCUUGACACCCAUAGAUACUUAAUAUCGCAUUAGUGUUUAGCUUUGCCUUUAAUUUUUAUUUCUUUCCUUUGGUUCCGUUUUGUGUUUUUUGAGACCAAGUCUGGUAUCCUCCGACUGGCCUUGAACUCUUGACCCUCCAUUUUCACCCCCUCAGUGCUGGAAUUAUGUGCUGCACCACCACUGUGCCUAGCUUAAUUUCACUGAUUUUUAGAUGAUCCUAAAUGGAAAAAUUAAGAGUCUUUUCAUGUAGCCCCAGGAUAUGAUUACAGACAUGUGUCACCC